CGGAGAGAGGAGAGAGGGAGACCAUAAGGUAAGGAGGAUCACGAUGCCGGAGAGAGGAGAGAGGGAGACCAUAAGGUAAGGAGGAUCACGAUGCCGGAGAGAGGAGAGAGGGAGACCAUAAGGUAAGGAGGAUCACGAUGCCGGAGAGAGGAGAGAGGGAGACCAUAAGGUAAGGAGGAUCACGAUGCCGGAGAGAGGAGAGAGGGAGACCAUAAGGUAAGGAGGAUCACGAUGCCGGAGAGAGGAGAGAGGGAGACCAUAAGGUAAGGAGGAUCACGAUGCCGGAGAGAGGAGAGAGGGAGACCAUAAGGUAAGGAGGAUCACGAUGCCGGAGAGAGGAGAGAGGGAGAGAGGAGAGAGGGAGACCAUAAGGUAAGGAGGAUCACGAUGCCGGAGAGAGGGAGACCAUAAGGUAAGGAGGAUCACGAUGCCGGAGAGAGGGAGAUGAUAAGGUAAGGAGGAUCACGAUGCCGGAGAGAGGGAGACGAUAAGGUAAGGAGGAUCACGAUGCCGGAGAGAGGGAGACGAUAAGGUAAGGAGGAUCACGAUGCCGGAGAGAGGGAGAUGAUAAGGUAAGGAGGAUCACGAUGCCAGAGAGAGGGAGACGAUAAGGUAAGGAGGAUCACGAUGCCGGAGAGAGGAAGACCAUAAGGUAAGGAGGAUCACGAUGCCGGAGAGAGGAGAGAGGAAGACCAUAAGGUAAGGAGGAUCACAAUGCCAGAGAGAGGAGAGA